rnacentral:rRNA from 1 species
UACGUAGGUGGCAAGCGUUGUCCGGAUUUACUGGGCGUAAAGAGCGCGCAGGCGGUCGAUCAAGUCGCGUGUGAAAGCCCCCCGGCUCAACUGGGGAGGGUCACGCGAUACUGAUCGACUCGAAGGCAGGAGAGGGUAGUGGAAUUCCCGGUGUAGUGGUGAAAUGCGUAGAGAUGUGGAGGAACACCAGUGGCGAAGGCGACUCUUUGGUCUGUAACUGACGCUGAGGCGCGAAAGCGUGGGGAGCGAACAGGAUAGAAACCCUU